rnacentral:rRNA from 1 species
UACGUAGGUGGCAAGCGUUGUCCGGAUUUACUGGGCGUAAAGAGCGCGCAGGCGGCUGGUCAAGUCCGAUGUGAAAUCUCCCGGCUUAACUGGGAAACUGCAUCGGAAACUGAUCGGCUUGAAGGUGGGAGAGGGUAGUGGAAUUCCCGGUGUAGUGGUGAAAUGCGCAGAUAUCAGGAAGAACACCAAUGGCGAAGGCAGCUCUCUGGGACGGUACUGACGCUGAGACGCGAAAGCGUGGGGAGCGAACAGG